GACGAACGCUGGCGGCGUGCUUAACACAUGCAAGUCGAACGGUAAGGCUCCAGCUUGCUGGGGUACACGAGUGGCGAACGGGUGAGUAACACGUGGGUGACCUGCCCUGCACUUCGGGAUAAGUCUGGGAAACUGGGUCUAAUACCGGAUAGGACCGCACCGUGAGGGUGUGGUGGAAAGUUUUUUCGGUGUGGGAUGGGCCCGCGGCCUAUCAGCUUGUUGGUGGGGUAAUGGCCUACCAAGGCGGCGACGGGUAGCCGGCCUGAGAGGGUGGACGGCCACAUUGGGACUGAGACACGGCCCAGACUCCUACGGGAGGCAGCAGUGGGGAAUAUUGCACAAUGGGCGGAAGCCUGAUGCAGCGACGCCGCGUGGGGGAUGACGGCCUUCGGGUUGUAAACUCCUUUCACCAUCGACGAAGGGUUUCUGACGGUAGAUGGAGAAGAAGCACCGGCUAACUACGUG
rnacentral:rRNA from 1 species